rnacentral:rRNA from 1 species
AACGAACCUUCGGGUUAGUGGCGGACGGGUGAGUAUUUUUUGCCCCUCUGCCCUCAGGAAGGGGAUAACGGUUGGAAACGACCGCUAAUACCCCAUAUGCCGAGAGGUGAAAAGAAAUUCGCCUGAGGAUGAGCUCGCGUCUGAUUAGCUAGUUGGUGUGGUAAUGGCGCACCAAGGCUUCGAUCAGUAGCUGGUCUGAGAGGAUGAUCAGCCACACUGGGACUGAGACACGGCCCAUACUCCUACGGGAUGCAGCAGUGGG